UGUCAGUGGGUCUACCAUUCUGGGGUC
rnacentral:piRNA from 1 species